UGUAAAUAUGGCGUCAAGUGCGAUGAGAUAUGUCGUGAAGUAAUUUUUAUGUAUUGUGUUUAUAAUUAGCGAGUGCGAGUAACGAUGGACUCUACGGAUACUAUGAUCGAUCCCCAGGCGGAAGUUAAAAAGCUUCAGGACCUUGUAAAGAAGCUAGAACUUCAAAACGAGGUGUUAAGGAACAAGCAAAAACUACCACUAGACAAUUCUCUGCAAAAUGGAGAUGUUCCCACUGAUAAAGUUUCUAUCCACAACAAUAAUAUAUCUCAUAAUGACUUGGAGCGUACACAACGCAAAUGUAGGUCGUCGUCUGGAGAAUCCGAAGACGACAUCAUAGAUGUGGACAUUCUGUCUCUUAGGGAGGAGGAAGAUACAUGGCUGUAUUCUUCACCAAAGCCUCCAACUCCACAACAAACCCGAGUCAGCCCAUAUAAGUGGGUGCGACAGGAGUUUGAUCAUCCAAGUCCAGAACUGGAAACAGCUAAGAGAUCACUUCUCUUUAAGCUUAAUGAAGUCGCUAAAAUGAACCGCAGUUCCAGUACCCCUACCCUAGGUAACUACACCUCCCCCACGAAGCCCCAGACCAUGCUGAGCCGCUCCACUGAAGGCACCGCCAGCACUGGGAGCAGACAGCCUCAAGCCAGACACUCCCUGCUCUCCACUCUAGCCGGCAGUCGUGUUGACACAGGCACCUUCACUCGACCAAAGAAGGGUCGAGAAAAACUACAGCCCGGCAACUUUGAGAAGGAGAAUGAUCCCCGUGACGACGCUCAGAGAAACGCCAAUGUUGCUGACAUAGAGACUCUGGCCAAAAUGCAGGAAGAAAGUUUACGACAGAGUAUAAAUGCAUCACCGAGGAAAGGUCUGCGUGCCCGUCAGUUGCCGGGACAGUUUGGUACCAGUGAUACAGACAACAGCGGUUCUCCUGGCGGUUCUAAUAGAUCUAGUCCUGGACGCUUUGAUAGUGAUGGCAUGUAUCAUCAGCGCCACAGAAACAGCCUUGGUUCCGAUGCCAGCAGUCCCCCCGAUAGUCCACAUGCUAGUCAGUACAUCAACCCUGGCGCUAACCCAUUUACCACAGAAUCUCCAAGUGGUCGUCGAAGUGUACCGAAUGUGUCCCGCCUGCAGUACCCCCAGCCCGGCCUUCACUCCAGUGACUCGAGUCUAGACCAUCAGUCAGUAGGGAGUGAUGAGAAUAACCUCGCCCCAGAGGCACGUAAUAUGUCCCGUCUUCAGCAACCUGCGCUCCGGUCAGCAUCGCCAGCCAUGGGGGGACUCAAACAACCUGCCCAGAUCCCCCGUCGGGCUACGUCCCCCUCCAGAAGUGGUCUUCCUACUCCCACCCGCAGGACAAUCCCGCGCCCUGCCACUGGCAGGACAUCCCUCCCCACUCCUAGAAGGUAGGUUGGCAGCUUUAGAGAACAAAAGCAGCAUGAGAUGGCGUUUACAGUUUUGUUUUAUUUACAGCCUCUUUGAAAAAAUAACCUAUAUCGACCCUUACUCUGACAUAUCUUUAAAAAAAUGCAAGAAAUUUGGUACAUGUGUAGUUAGUAAUGCGGCUCAGCAUAUAUAUUUUUUUUGUGUGUGUGUGCAAUAUAUUGAAUUUUGACCUUAGAACUUUGACCACACUGAAAGCUGAAACUUCUUUCUUAUUGCCAUUGCACAGCCUUUUUGUUCAAGAUGUAAUGAAAUUUGGUAUUUGUGUACUUAUUGGGCUCAACACAUUUGCUCUGUUCACAAUGUUUAGAUUUUUUACCUUGUUUUGACCAUGCUCUUUGAUUCUGUCAGGCACAUUGGCUCUGUAAACAUCUGUGAAAUUAUCCUACUGAUGUAGCUUAAGUUUGGCAUGUUUCUCUCCAUGGUAACAUAUUUUGUUCAAAUCAUUAGAUUUUAAUGUUAGUUUUUAGUCCUCAGUAAUUAUUGAAUAUCAAUGCUGACAGCAAUUUAUUAUAAAUAUCUGUCUUUAUCUCCUUGGACAUAUUACUACAAUUAAAUUGCAUCACAAUGCUUUGCAGACCAUUGUGAUGACAUUGGUUACCAUGACAUCACAAUCAAAAGACAUCACUUGUCUCUCUGCCACUAAAGCUGGUUAGCUCUACUUUUUACAUUCAAGGCACUGGUUCUUUACUGUUUAUGAACAGAAAGAGUUUGAAGAAUGAUUUUGUAUGAUAAUUAGAAUCCACCCAUGUCUUUUGAUAGCAAACAUAUGAAAUCAUUUGGCCCUCAAGCUCCGACGUUCAUACAGUUUGGCCCUCACUCUAUGAAGGUUCAUACUCCAAUGAACUCACACAAAGUGAAGGUCAAUUCUUAAAUCAACUCAUGUUUACAUAUUUGAUACCAAUAGAUACUUGGGUGAGAUUCUGUUUAUAAACCUGAAUUGCUUGUAACUGUUCCAUUAUGUUUCAUGCUCUUUGUGUUUGUUUUGUUAUGCCUCACUCAAACUAGCAGUACAUCAUUGAAGUAGGAUGUGUCAAGGGGCUAGGGACAUGUCACCAGUUAUCAAGAUCCAAUGCCUCUUCACCGCGCCCUCCCUCAUCUCAGGACUCUGAUGAAAGUUGGCGUGAGGGUUGUUUCUAGACCCUACCUGCUGCCUACCUUGGUAUAUUCUAACCCGAUAAGACAAUGGUGUUUCUAUAUGUAUAUCUGACCUGUUUCAGGGGAAGGUAAACUGCCAGCCGACAUAGGGCGUAUGUAAGUUUGUCUUCAUCAGUGCUCGUCACCUCGCGUGGGAGUGCUAGAGUUCCCCUGUUUGACUCUAUAUAUUCACCUGUCAGGGCCUAGUCUGUAUAUGCAUUGGUAGUCGACGCGUCGUUAUGCGUGACAUCAUCUUCAUGCAUGUGCAACACUUGCUAAUCUAUCACUCAUUCAUCUUGUUGAUUUAGAGAAUUAGAGUUGUGAUGAAUCACUGAAUGCAAUAAAACUUGCUAACUACACAAUUAUAAUCUUCAUCAACAUCUAUCAUUUAACAAUCUGUGGUAGUGUUGUCAAACCAGUGUCAAUCAUGUAAUGUCUUAACAAUCAGAAAAAAACAGUAUUACGUUACAGUGGUCAUUGUGGAUUGUAUGGAUAUGUCUACCUGUCAAAUUUGAAGCCUUGUUGCUGUUUUGGCAUGGUUACCACGGUUACUUAUGUAAUAGCAAGGUGGCACAUGGUCGUUUUGAGAUGAAGGGAUUAACAUCAGAAUUUGUUUUGCGCAUAGACAUUUUUAGACAUAUUCUUAAUGUACAACAUGAAUAAUUUCAGUUAACAUCACAUUUUAUGGCAUUUGUUUGUAAAGGUUUUUGUACAUUUUCUGGCAAAUGAUGUUAAUUCACAAAAGGUUACUGAUAUUGUUUUGGGGAAACAGUCAUGUUCACAAUCCUUGCUGUGCAUUAAAGGUUGUGUAUUCAGUUUGCAAGAGAUCAGGGAAUUCCAAUAUUUUGAAAGAAACGUGUAAUAUAAGCAAGCCGAUUUUGCUUUCACUGACUGAAACUGUUCUUGACAUCUCUGCAUCAUUGUCUCUUGCAAGCAAUUGAUUUCCUUGACUGGGGAUGUCACAAUGCACCAGACUAACAAUUAACUUGUUUUUUAGACACAGUGCACAAUUUCAUUUUUCGUUUCGAUACAAAUGAUGUGUAACAUUUGUUGAGUAUCCGUUGAAAGGUGUGAAAAAUAAGAACGAGAUUACUGAUAUAUACACAAAGGCAAAAGUGGUUAUGAUUAUGUAAGAUAUCAUUGAUAUAUAGAUUGAUCACUCUUUUAAUUGUGUAAACAAACCACUUGUGAAGAUGGGCCAGGGUAGAUUAAUUUAUGAUGUUAUAUUCUUUUUGGGGUAAAGAAAAAAGUCACACUUUCAGUUACUUUCCUUACAGACAGCUGUAAAUCAUAAAUGGGGACUUACGCUGACCAGACAUUUUACCAGAACUUGAAAAGAACACAAAAUGCGCUGAACAACAUUUAUUUGAAAGUUUAAUUUUCGAAAAUUAUGACUUCCUUAGAAAACGUAUGGGUUUACCUGCAUCCAAAUUGAACAUCGUUACACUUGAAAUCUUCAACGAUGAAGAGAGGAAUUUUGGAUUGUGACAAAUAAGAACAUUAUCACAGUUACUCUUGCUUUUGUGUAUAUUUAGAACUAGCUGAAACAAUGAGUCAUUAUCAUCACAUUUCAUUCUCAUUUUCUUCUAAUUUGUUCUAUCCUUGUAGAAUAAGCUAGAAUAAGAUAUAUAUAUGCAGUGCAUGAUCCUCAUAUGUAUUGUGAGGUAUACACUGAUGUGUAUCAUAUCAUAUAUUGUGACAUCCCUAUUCUUGAAGAAGUAUUAUCGUCAAAUCUGACUGACACAGUGAUCAAGUUUCCAACAUUUUCUGCAUGGUUUUUCUCAAAUGAAGAGUUAAGUGAGAGUUAUCUCCCUUACUAGAUGCUUGAAAUCUUCCACAAUGUGUACCAGUGUACACUGUCUCUGUAUGCAUGUGUUGGUUCUUCAAAUUGAGACGAGAAAGAAAAAGAAAUCGUAAUUUCAUAAAUGAAAACCAAAACUGAAUCGUGAUAGAUUGAUUCUCAUGUCAUUCAUAAACUGAAUUAACACUGUUUUGCUAUACAACUUUUCAUUCAAUGCUGCUAUGCAACUAAAUACGGCUUUUUGUCAUAAACAGGCUACCAGUGUCAUUUAUUGAUAAGCAAUGCUUGUAUGUGGUCUGGUUGUUUAUCAGGUCAUCUUGGAUGGAACCAUCAAGGUUGCUGCUGCUGCUGCCAGCUUAUUAAAAUACAUUAUUUCUCAUGUGUUAUGGAAACCAUUUCUAUGCCAUCACUCUGAAAUCCUUUGUCUAUUCUGUCUAUCUGUGAAACUAAGUUGGGCCUGAAUAAUGAUGUUGUGGUUCAAACUUAUGUAUAUCAAACUUUUGACUGGUUUGUUGUCAAUGCAGGGGCAACAUCAUGAAUUAAAUCUAAAUCCAGCAGUACUUUUUGUACUAGUUCACUGUCAUGCCUAGAUUCUGAUCAAAUGUGUCUUGCCCUUCUUGAUUCCUGAUGGUCUCAGACUGUAGGACUAGCGGACAUGUCUAACCCUGCAGUGUCAUGUAACACAAGUAUCUAACAUUACAGCCCAGACAUACAUGAGAUGAGAAUGUGAAAUUUGUCUGUACAGAAACUUGACUAGAACCACAACAUUAUUUGAUUUGAAGCCUUGGAGGUUAUGCUGAAUGGGGUUAUUACACAGUUGAUGUGUUAAUAUGCUGGCCAUAUUACAUCUACCACUCUUAUGAUCUAUAAAUAUGUACAUUGAAUCAUCAUCUUCAUCAUCAUCCUCAUCCCUACCUGUGUAUAUUUCUGCCUUUUAUAUGGAUUAUUUUUGCAUCAUGAUCUCAACUCCCUGUGUUAUAAAAACACCAUUAUGAAUCUAGAGUGAUUCAGAAUGUAUAUAUGUAGCAUAUUUAUCAUACAUAUGCUCUACUGUAACCAUACAUAACGAGGCAGGUGUCAGAACAAACGAUUGUACAGAUAACAGAGGGGGAAGGUAGGGAUAGCCUGUGUAUAGUCAUCACGGUAACCUUUCUACGGGACCAUUCUCACACCCUGCACAACAUCAGCAGAAUCACAAUGGUUGGGAUGUGUCCGACAGACUUGAGAAUAGGGCCUGUUCUGCAUGCAAUCUUAGCUCUACGACUUUCUUUGUGAUAGAAUAUGGGAGCUAUGACAGUCAUAGUGGUUAGAUUAUGCUUAAAUUGGAUUUCUAUUGGAUCUUCUGUCAAAUCCUACUCUGAAUAUUCUUAUUGGAUGCUGUAUGUAGGGUACGUUUUGACGGGGUGGGCCAAGUGAUUUCGUUGGCUACAUUAUUUUGACACACAAUGCAAAGACAUCAGUUCUCUAUUUUGGACUGUUCAAGUAGGAUUGUAUUAAAAAAGGCUUCAGUAGCAUGUUUUUUUUUUUGAUUUUGUCAAGAGAUCAGUUGCAUUUUGGUUAGAAAAUUGUGCUUAAGUUAUUGAAAUUUUUUUUGAUUUUUUUUUAAUCAUUGAAUAGAAUCUCUGUUGAAUAUGAACCAGUAUGUAUCCCUGGGAUCUAAAUGAUAUUAACUCGGCUACAUUUUUAAAUGACUCCCAUUUGUUAGAAUUUGAAUAUCAGUGUCAUAUGUUCUGUAUAAAUUUUUAUGUUUAUUCUACCUUUGGAAGAGUCUGAAUGUUAACUGUAUGGUACGGAAACACAGAACCUGUUUUUCUUUUCGGCAAACUUAUUGAUUGUGAUGUUGUACAGGGGAUGAGAAUGGAGUUUCACAUUUAAAUGAAUAUUCAUUGUCAACAUUGUUACCCAUUUCAAGAAUUAACCUGUAAAUAUUAUUUGCUUGGUACAUAAUAUGUUGAUGUGAAUAUUGUUGGAAUGAACCUGAUAGUUAAUACUUAAAGACUCAUAACGAGUGUCAAACUUUUAUCUGGUGCUGGUGAGACCUUGUUGCUUGGUGUAAGUCCGUGGUAAUUGUGUUAUCAUAAUUGUUAUCCUUAAACCUUAUACGCAUCUUAUUUGUUGCUCUUUGUAAAGAAUUGAUUAUUUUACUUCAGCUUCAGCUAAUGUUUGGAUUCCACUCUUCAUCUUUUGAUGCUGUAAUAGUUUGGCUUUUCAGCUUACUGAGUUUGGAGAAGAGAGUUGUCAAAUAUUGUAUCUGUCAGCCAUCAUGAUGAACAAAAUAUGUUGAAUUUUGUACAUUGGCAAAUACCAAAGGAAAUGUUUUCUUCAAAUACUGAUUAGAAGUAUAUUUUUAAGACAGAUUUCAGCACUUAUCAUCAGUUAUCCGAUGCUUAUAGUAUUGCUUUGUUACUUGUCAUGUGAACUGAUCGAUUGAAUGUUCCUCAAAUGGAGGAUGUUCUGGGGAGUUGAUAAUCAAAGAUUUAUAUUGUACGAUGUGACAUUGUAUCAUGUUGAUGUGAGGAAUCAAAUGAUAGACAAAUUAAAAAAAUUACCAACUAUUUACAAACUUUACCUCAAACAGAUUAUAGAAGUGAUAUUUCUGAUUUUGUUUGAAGCAUGCUAUUGACAUUUCUCCUGCUGAACACACGAGAAGCUGAUCCUGUACACAAUAAGACCUGUUUGGGGUAAUUAUCGGGAUUACAGAAUGUUCUAAAAUCACUAGGCUUGGUGGUCAGUGUUUGAAACAAAAUACAUUUUUGAAACAUGGUUUUGAAAUUCAUGUCUUAAUCAUGUUAAAAAUAUAGUUGGUUAGGGUAAACAAAAGAACCAAAGAAAUUUUUAAAAUGUAUGUUUUUGAUGACAUUCAAAGAGUUACUUCCCUUCUACUACUGACAUUAUGUUUUGUUACUAAAAUUGGAUAACAGUCAGCCAGAAGAAAAAAAUAAUCAAAUUUUUAUUUUAUACCUUAAUUGGUAAAUUUCAUAUUUAAGGAUCUGUAAGCCCAGUUGAUGAAAGUAUGAUACUGGUGAUGAUUGUCCAGCCACAGUGGUGACAGACAGAUAGACUGCUCACUAACGAUACUGGACAUGCUGACAACCUGUCACUUUAUCUGUCUGAAUCCCAAGUCUGAUCAAUUCUAUUUGGUCACAUAAGCAAUUGUAAUCCUUAUUGUAACACUAAGGUUCCAGAAAGUGAUGCUGAGAGAGAUGGUCUGGCAAGUGGACUCAAAAGAUUUUGGCAUAAAUAGUGCUAAUAACAGAGAACAGAUAACAGAGAUAUGUAUAUAAUUUCAUGUUUACAAUGAAUAGAUCUGACAUGUACCACUGGACAUUGCUUCACUACAGUGCAGGCUUAUUCAGUCUUCGUUUCCAACCAAGGCACAAAUUGUAUAAACCUGAGUUUACUAAUCACCUGCAGCCAUCCACUGCCGUAGUUAACGGAGUACAGAAUGGGCCUGGGAGCUUAUUUGCCUUCAAAUGCCCAUGUUAAGUCACUGUACACACUGUGCUUAGUGUUGCCAUUACUUUCAUCUUCCUAAUGUAUGCACAUAUAUAUGCUGGAGUGACCAGGUGCUGGGGUUCUGUGUCCAUAUACCAUAUUCGACGUAAUAAGAGCCCCGCUCUAAUAAGCGCCCACGGCGAUAUUUGCUAAUAUAUUGGCCAGUGAACAAUCCUAAUUAGCACCCCUUCCGAUUGAUCAAUGUACACAAGACUUAU
rnacentral:misc_RNA from 1 species